UGGUUAAAAAGCUCGUAGUUGGAUCUCAACAGCCUUGAAGCGGUUAACUUUGUAGUUUUACUGCUUUAUAGGCUGUGCUUUUGCUGGAGGUUUAGGGGUGCUCUUGAUCGAGUGUCUCUGGAUGCCAGCAGGUUUACUUUGAAAAAAUUAGAGUGCUCAAAGCAGGCUAAAAUGCCUGAAUAUUCGUGCAUGGAAUAAUAGAAUAGGAUGUCGAUCCUAUUUUGUUGGUUUUCGGGACUCGACAUAAUGAUAAAUAGGGACAGUCGGGGGCAUUUGUAUUCAAACGACAGAGGUGAAAUUCUUGGACCGUUUGAAGACAAACUACUGCGAAAGCAUUUGCCAAGAAUGUUUUCAUUAAUCAAGAACGAAAGUUAGAGGUUCGAAGGCGAUUAGAUACCGCCCUAGUUCUAACCAUAAACGAUGCCAGCUAGCGAUCUGCCUGCGUUUUUACUGUAGACUGGGCAGGAAGCUUCCGGGAAACCAAAGCAUUUGGGUUCCAGGGGAAGUAUGGUUGCAAAGCUGAAACUUAAAGGAAUUGACGGAAGGGCACCACCAGGAGUGGAGCCUGUGGCUUAAUUUGACUCAACACGGGAAAUCUCA
rnacentral:rRNA from 1 species